AAAUUGAAGAGUUUGAUCAUGGCUCAGAUUGAACGCUGGCGGCAGGCCUAACACAUGCAAGUCGAACGGUAACAGGAAGCAGCUUGCUGCUUCGCUGACGAGUGGCGGACGGGUGAGUAAUGUCUGGGAAACUGCCUGAUGGAGGGGGAUAACUACUGGAAACGGUGGCUAAUACCGCAUAACGUCGCAAGACCAAAGAGGGGGACCUUCGGGCCUCUUGCCAUCAGAUGUGCCCAGAUGGGAUUAGCUUGUUGGUGAGGUAACGGCUCACCAAGGCGACGAUCCCUAGCUGGUCUGAGAGGAUGACCAGCCACACUGGAACUGAGACACGGUCCAGACUCCUACGGGAGGCAGCAGUGGGGAAUAUUGCACAAUGGGCGCAAGCCUGAUGCAGCCAUGCCGCGUGUAUGAAGAAGGCCUUCGGGUUGUAAAGUAC
rnacentral:rRNA from 1 species